UUUACCAAGCAGCAAAUCCUCCGUAUCCCUCCCUGCAUUCCCAGCAGCUCCUUCCGAGCUGAGAUGGCACCACACGGAGAGGUGCAAGCCUCCCAUAGCUCCAUCAGGUUCGUGCUCCUCCUCCUCCUCCUCCUCGUUCAGCAUGACCAGGACAGAGCAGCCAUGCAGACAGCUUCAGAACUGAUCAUCGCCGUGACCAGCUUGCCCAAUGCACGGGAGGACCUCAGAAGGAGUCAGGGCUGCCUUCGUGAAGGGAAAAACGGAAGAUGACAGCCAAACACCUGCCAGCCAGCGCAAGGCAGGGGCCACUCGUUGCCUCGCGGGGUUGCUCCCGUCCCACCUUGGCGUUACCAGAGCCGGGCGAAGGCCGGUGGACGCACAGCUGCUCUCCUCGGGCAGCUAUCAGCGUCAGUCGUUCUCCGCCCGGCUGUGACCACAAAUAACGAACGCUAACGGAAGAGCACGUGUUCCCGGGUCAAGCGCGGCAUGUCGCAUCUUGUGACUCAGGCGAGAAGUGUUACGGCCACAGCACGCCGGUGUGAACAUCAGCUCGCAGUAGACAGGCGAAUACUGACGCGAAAUCCCUCUGCCUCCGGGAGCUGGCAACGCAGGGGUGCUUGGGGACAGUACGAGCAGAGCGACGGUGCUCGAUAGCCGCGGUAUGUCAGAGCUGCCUGGACACCGCGAGGCAGGGAGCUUGGUACUGUGCAGGCUGUUCUUAAUACUAGUCCCGUGCAGGCAAAACAGCUGAAGGAGGCCAGAGAGCCAACAAGUUCAGACAAGCAGCACGAGCAGAAGGAGAGCGCUGAAGAGACAAGGCAAGAGAAGACGCUGCUGUGUGGACACGGGCCGGGAAGAAGCUCAGGGACGAAGGGAAAUAGAGAACAGGCCACGCUGGCAGUGACCCGUUCACCACUCACGUGCCACCGUCCCUUGGGCAGACAUGGGCAACGCCGUGUCCCUUAAAAACCCAUGGGGAAUAUCAGGCUGAGGUGAAGGUACAUACAGCUCUGGACAUAUUUUCUAGUAGCUGCUGUCUUAGAGAGCUGAAAGACAUCUCCUGUUUGGCAGGGCAAAGGUCUGCUUAUCUCCACGUGGAAACAAGGCCUGCUCCUAUCCCCGUGUGUGUGAUUUACUGAAUCAUCAGUAAAUCUAGCUCACAGGUACCUGUGGGUCCAUGUCCCAAACCUCGCCCUGGCUCACCAGCCUUUGCCAGCCCCAGACCUCUCAGACACGGGACCUGUGCCCAGCCAGGACCUGUCCUAAACCUGCCCAGCAGCCGCCAACCCAAAGCGGUUCAGCACGCCGUGACUCAGCAGAGCGCACGCUGGACAUGCACCGUCCAGGGCAGCCAGACACCCGCUCUUCCAGGCUCCCGGACGUGCCAAGCGGAGGGCUCCUCCGGGCCACGUCCAGGCACCGCACCUCCGCGCACCAGCCUGGCAUCGGGCAGGGGUUUGCCGAGCACAGCCAGCGUCUCCGGACACGUUUCAAGUGACAAGGUGUAUGCUGCAAAAGACCGAAGCCUCUAAAGGGAGAUGAGUCGCUGCAAUUCUUUGUUACCGGGCACUGUAAGUAAAAGGGUGUUUCCAGUUCAGCAAAGUAAGCGCAUAGCGCUUUUAACUUACCCUCCGAAAUGCUGUCACCUGUCAAGAUCUCUUCACUAAGCUGCACUACCAGCCAUCCAAAGCACUGCAGAGGCGGGCACGUUGCCUCGUGGCAAAGGGUCGGCGUUUCUUGGCGAGGACGCACGGCCCUUGGUUGCUACAAUCACGCUGUCCUGCCAGGAAAAUCAGUACAGCACCCCUUUGAGAAAGAAAGCCGUACAGGUGAAGAGUUCCUGAAAAGCCUGUCCUCAGAGAUGUGCUGCAGCCUGGACAAAGGCACAAAGACCAUGCCAAACCAUCUUGAAGCACAGCUGACUCAUAUAACCUGGGGCAGAGACCACACCUCCACACCCCACCGAGCAUUGCAGAGCUGAUCCGUUCACACCCUCCUUAGCAGCUCUGCAGGUGAAGCAGCCAAGCUGUGGGCUUCACCUGCCCCACAGCACCUCGGCAUUCAGCCAGGCACAAAAGCAAUCGGAGUCAAACCUGAGAAGUCUGCGGUACCGUAUCAAUACUGAAAAAUGAUGCCAACGGCUUUUUUGUCAGUACCACCAUGCUAGACAUGCCUGCUAGCUUGCAAGUCUAUUUUAACUAGGUGAUGCAUGUUUUGAGUCUGCCAAAGUCGCUGCUGCCUCCUAAGAAGCUAUUUGACCUGCUUUGCUGUUUAAGGAAGCCAAAAUUCAAUGUGUGACCACCUCACUUCCCUCCCCUUUGGUGUAGCUCUCACGGCUCAGGUGACAACGUGAAAAAUACCUGCCUUUAUAAUGUUAACCCAAUUCAUGAAUAACCAAUAAGGAGUGCAUCUACGCACUGUGACCCACACGGAGGUCCCAAAGCUAGUUUUAAACCAGCUCUGAAGCUGAUGGUAGCAACACAAGCUAAUCACCAAAGUUUUUAGCCAGCUUGAGUGUGUGUUACAGCUGCAGUGAACUCACUGUCCAAAUAUCUCUGUCAAAACUCAUGAAUAUGUGCCUGAAGUAAUACCUCUUGGUUACACUAAAGCCACACAGCAGCAUCUGGUCCCCGCUGUUCAACCUCACAGGGAGCUAAAGAAGAUGUCUCAGUCCAGCACAAUUUGUUAGCAGCCCAGGGGAGUGACAGCCAAAUUAUUUAACUUUAUCAAACCUGGAAGUGCCAGAGUCUCUUUGUUCCCUUUUCUGAUCCUUCAGUGUUUCCCCUCCCCUUUCCAUACUCCACUCUUUUCUACAAAGCGGAUUUCGACCGGGCCAGGUUGGUACAGUGCCCUGCGAAGUCCCUUUGAUUCGGGGCACACCGACACUUCUAAGAAUAACUUUGGUCUUGUGCCACUGAAAUAAUAGUACUAGAGUUUAUAAAUUGAUUCUUUUUCUCUAGGGCUUAAGUAUCAGCCCUGAAGAAGGGCUUGUGUGCUUACAAAAUGUGAUCAUGGCUUGCUACGAUAUCCGCCAGUCUAAUAGAAGACAUUACAUUUAGUACAAAAUUCGUCUCUCUGAAAUAAUAGUCACUUGAAUGCUGUUAGCCACCAAACUGUGGUGCCCAGAAACAGCCUUUCAGGGACAAAUUCUCAUGCUUUUGGCAACAAUCAGUAUCACCUGCAGGACUAUUAAUCCCAUUGAUUUCUGGCCCUGAUAUGUCAGUGCCUGAAGUACUAUUUUGGAAGUAGCGUUUUUGUGACUAACAGCUUUGAAGUGUUUUUGUAGGCCUACUAGCAGAAUAGAGUGCUAUUCAGUGUGAGCAAAGACAUCGGAUUUGUUUCAGAUGCUGGCAUUGGAGAUAUGUGGCAUCGUUCCCAGAGGCAUUAGAAGAGAUUCUCUGAAAAAUAACAUGAAAAAUGGAUCCUCCCUUUUCUUCCUCUUCUGGUUUCCAAUCCACUACAAAGUAGCGAUGUGUCAGAAAACACUUAUGGAAUCAGGGUAAUCGAGUAACUUGUCCUUGGCCUGCCAAAGAAAUAAGGGUUUGAGGUGUACAAAAAGCUGACUGAACUACAGACAGCUUUUGAAUGAAAAAUUAUUCUGAUGUUUUUAGGAAUAAAAAAUGUUGUUCUGUU